rnacentral:tRNA from 2 species
GCGGGAGUAGCUAAGCCAGGACAACGGCGCAGGACUUAAGAUCCUGUCUCGAAGGAGUACGGGGGUUCGAAUCCCCUCUCCCGCA